UACGGAGGGUGCAAGCGUUAUCCGGAUUCACUGGGUUUAAAGGGUGCGUAGGAGGGCAGGUAAGUCAGUGGUGAAAUCUUUGGGCUUAACCCGAAAACUGCCAUUGAUACUAUCUGUCUUGAAUGCGGUGGAGGUGAGCGGAAUAUGUCAUGUAGCGGUGAAAUGCUUAGAUAUGACAUAGAACACCGAUUGCGAAGGCAGCUCGCUACACCUGCAUUGACUCUGAGGCACGAAAGCGUGGGGAUCAAACAGG
rnacentral:rRNA from 1 species